rnacentral:rRNA from 1 species
UAGCCUUGACAUUGAUUGAAUCCAGCAGAGAUGCAGGAGUGCCCUUCGGGGAACAUGAAAACAGGUGCUGCACGGCUGUCGUCAGCUCGUGUCGUGAGAUGUUGGGUUAAGUCCCGCAACGAGCGCAACCCUCGUCAAUAGUUGCCAGCAGGUUAAGCUGGGCACUCUAUUGAGACUGCCUUCGCAAGGAGGAGGAAGGUGAGGACGACGUCAAGUCAUCAUGGCCCUUACGGCUAGGGCUACACACGUGCUACAAUGGGGCGUACAGAGUGUUGCGAUACCGCGAGGUGGAGCUAAUCACUUAAAGCGUCUCUCAGUUCGGAUUGGAGUCUGCAACUCGACUCCAUGAAGCUGGAAUCACUAGUAAUCGUAGAUCAGCAAUGCUACGGUGAAUACGUUCCCGGGUCU